GCGCCAGGCGCUCCGGCCGCAAGGGAGCAGGGAGCCCUGCCAGCUGGGCCACCCGAGGGGCGUUGCGGGGCUCCGGGCGGGGUCGACCCGGGGGGCUCCGUCGGGCCCCACCAGCCUUGCGCCUUUUUCGCUCGGUCUCCUUGGCCUCCCGCUCCUGCGACGCCGCUUUCCUUUUCUCUUGCUCCCGAGCUCGGACCUCGGCCAGGGGCCCCGCCCGCCAGUUGGUCGCCUCCUGCAGCACCCUGGAGGCCCAGGGCCGGCGGGGCGGCGGCUGUGGGGAUCCCGGGCGCGGCCCACACCUGGGACAAUGAGCAGGAACCCAGAGACAGGGUCUUGCUGUGUUGCUGAGCUGGUCUUGAACUCCUGGCCUCCCGCCUCAGUCUCCCAAAGUGCUGGGAUUACAGGCUUUCAUCAUGUUGCCCAGGCUGAUGCUGAACUCCUGAGCUCAAGCAAUCCACUUGCCUUGGCCUCCCAAAGUACUGGCAUUACAGGCGUGAGCCACCACACCUGGCUGAGUUUUCUUUUUCCUCUUUUUAACUUCUACCCCAGAGCCUAAUCCAGUACAUAAAGUGUAAAGGCUAAAUUAGAAAAUCUAUAUAAAAAUGCUUUGUAAACCAUAAUACAUUUACAAGUAAGUAGAAUAUGACAUGUCAUUUUAAAUUUAAUGGAAUUAGACUCCUUAUUUUUGUUUAAGAUUAUCCUGAUUAGUCAGAAUUGGCUCCCUUGCCUGGGAGACCAACUGCGAAUCAUUUUAGUACUUUGGUCGGUUUUCUUUUUGAAAACCUGAAAGAAACAACCUCUCUGUGAGCAGAGAAACGGUGUGGCAAAGAAUUACUCUGGGCAUGUAAUCCAAAGCAAAGUGAACCUGCAGUCCUUUCGUAACUACAGUAGCAGAUGAUAAAAACCAAGAUGGAAAGAGUUACUCUGCCUGAAAGAAGACACAUGGUUAAAAACUGUGGAGAGGGAAGUGUAUGGGAGGGGUUACAGAGCGCUAGAAAAAGACUCCUGAGAGUGAGGGUGGGUGCAAACAUGUAGCAGGCAACCCGCAGCAUCUGUGGGAGGGUGACAGGGCCCUGCCACAAUUGGUCAAUGCCUGCUCGCCAAGAAUGAGCUAUGCCAAAACCCCUGCUUAGAGUCGCAGAGCGGGCCAUGACCUAAAAUUGUCCAGGGACACAUCGGCCUCUAACACUGCAAGAUUUCCUCUUUCAAGCAAACCUCAAUUCUCGGUCUUAUUAAGGGAAUGUGACUUCACUGGACGCAGUAUAAAGAUCUUCAGAUGUCCUCCUGCCGGGGAUUGCAGGGAUCACAGAAAGACCAUCGAGGUCCAGGAGCUACCUGCAAGCGGAGAUCCCUCUGGACGCCCCGUGCCUCACCCAGCAAAGCCGGCUCACAACCCUGCGCUCUCAAACCUCUAAAAGGGCUUGAGGUGCCAAUAGGAAAGGAGGCCCGAGAUUGCCACGGCAUACGUGGGCCCCAAGGAGGGAGCCAGGAGUCACUGCCUGCUUGGGCUAAGGGUACCGCGUACGGAAAGGCGGCGGGGACGCGGCCCAGUUCCAGGAGAUGCGCCCAACGAAGAAGCGGAGGAACAGGGUCACGGGAUAGGGCAGACACCCGGCUGCUUUUUGUUUGCUAGACACCAGCGCCAGCCCCUGCCCGGCCCUCCCGGUCUCCUAAGGGUUGGGGGGGUGUCUUAGGCUCCACAGCGCCCCCGACCGCCCUCCUGCACUCCUCACCGUCUCCAUUGCAAGAGGCGCCCGGCUUGGUUUCCUCGCUUUAGGAAACUCUCUUGGGGCAGGCCCCGCCCCACAUCCGGUGCGGCGACGCCACUUCCGCCCACGUCAUGGCAGUCGCCAGACUGGGGCGGAAGGCAAGGAACCCACCCUUCCGGCGGUGGCGGGCCUCGGUAACCGCCCUCCCCCGGGUCCUCGCGGACCGCACGGAUCCGGCUGACGGCGAGGGUCAUGGGACGGAGCCGC
rnacentral:lncRNA from 1 species